UACGUAGGGGGCGAGCGUUGUCCGGAUUUAUUGGGCGUAAAGAGCGUGUAGGCGGCCAAACAGGUCCGUUGUGAAAACUGGAGGCUCAACCUCCAGACGUCGACGGAAACCGUGUGGCUAGAGUCCGGAAGAGGAGAGUGGAAUUCCUGGUGUAGCGGUGAAAUGCGCAGAUAUCAGGAAGAACACCCGUGGCUAAGGCGGCUCUCUAGUACGGUACUGACGCUGAGACGCGAAAGCGUGGGGAGCGAACAGG
rnacentral:rRNA from 1 species